CGUUUUUGGGGCCACCUGAGCUCUCAUGGAGGCUGAAGUAAGUUUUUCAAUUAACAUUAAUAGUGUGUAGCUGGACUCUGCUCUCACUGCAAGAAAUGACUUCUGGGUUGUGAGGACAUUAGUGCAAAGGCUGCUGGCUCCUUAUUGCUUCUGCUUAUGUGCAGUGAAGGGGGUUUGUAUCACCAGAAUGGAGGUCUGGUGAUACAAAUGUACAGGGGGCAUCUGAUAGUUCCAGGGGCAGCCCCAGCCCAGGCACCCUGGGAAAUCCAUUUGCAUUUCUAUGUGGAGUGGGUUUCAAAACACUCUGUUAAUUUUCUUCCAUUAAACACAGUACAAAGCUGUAUGGUUUUGAUGGUGCCAUAAUAAUAAACACUCAAAGACUUGUUUACAAAGAAAUAGUUAUUGUCUGCUAAGUAGUUUUAAUGGAAAGCUCCCUGCUGGGGUUUAGUGCAGGGCUGAGGAUGCGAGGGGCAGGCCCUGAGCAGUGCUCCCUACUCCUCAUGUACCCGUUGCUUAAGUGCAGAGAAGGGUUUUUGAGAGCUCUAGUGCACACAGAUGAGAUGAUUGCACACUUUAGAGCAAAUCUGCCCUCCUUUCUAGUCACACGCCUUUCCUACUAGUGCCAUGUUUAAUACUGGGAUUUCUGUGGGUGGCAUCUUUCGAGCAGGCCAGGUGAGGCUGCACUUCUACCAACAGCGUGUGUGCACAUCAGCUGCCCAAACAGAUGCUGCUGGAAGGAUCUGGCCCUUCUGCCCUGUCCCUUCUGCCCUGUGUGCUGGCACAGUCUGCCUGGCGCAGGGCUGCCUGCUCCCGGUGCCAGCCCUCGUGCCUGCACUGUGCCAUGGCACAUAGUCCCAGGGAACUGCUGGGCUUCGGACUGUUUCAGAAUCCCUUCCUGAGGGUCCAUGUUUUGGCCCAGCAAAGAUGUUGGCAGGCACUGUACAAGUUGCAGGUCACUGUUAAAGUUUUAAAAAAAUAUUACAAUCCAGCUCUGAUGCUUCACGGGAAGAAUGCGAGAGUCCCUGUAAAGCACAGGCAUGAAUGAUUAUUCUAAUUGCCUGGAGAUGCCUUCUGAGAGAUGGAAUAAUUAAGCAGUGAGAUGAUUGAGACCUUCAGCACCUUUGUCUGUGCUCCCCUUCUGGACACCCCCCCCCCCCCCCC